GAUCUGGUAGCUUUUUGGAGGCUUGCAGGUCCAGCUGGGGCCGGGGAGCCUCCUCUUCAGGCAGCCCCUCGCGACUCUCCUGUGAGGUGGCCGAGCCUCGAGCUUGUUUCUCUGCCAUGCGCUUCUCAAUGGCCGCCAGGGACUCCCGUGUGAACCUGCGGAAGCUGCUGGUGCCCCGAGGAGACCCAGGAAGACCCUGUGGAUGCUCAGAAACACGUGGCUAACAACUUUGGAGCUGUCAUCCAGAUGUUGGCACCCUGAGGCAUACAGCUGUGUAAGAGUCCCUGCUGGGGAUCUCAAAGGACUAUGGUGUCCCCAUAUUCCUGACUCCAAAGCACCCACAGCGCCUCUGGCUCCCCCACCCCUUCUUCCCCUUCCUUCCACCUGUGAACAAAUAAAUUCCAAUUUCAAGGGACAGCAGAACCGGAAAACCAUGACCACUACUGAUGCAUGUGAUGUCAGACUGGGAGAAUGUUGUCCCUGGUGGCCUCAAAUGAUCUAGAAAGUGGUGUGAACACAAUGCCCAUGACAGCAAGGCAGAAGAAUGCAUUCCUGACUGCCCCACCAAAACAGGAUGUGGUCAGCAGGGCUCUGGAUGUGACAACUGAGUUGGAGACCACAUCGCUAAUGACUACAUCAGACCCGGGAAAGGCCAGGCACUGGCUCCACAGGACACGGUGGGCACCUGUUGUCCAUCUCGCCAGGCUAGAAUCUCUUCAUGUCAACUGAGGGCUUUGCCUUCAUCUUACUCCUACAAAACAUGUCACCGAGGGGACCCCGCACUGCUGCUGCACCCGCUCCUGCCUAGAUCCAGCGAAUGGCCUAGACCUGGGGCCCCCGAGCACCAGGGACUGCAGGUAUCUGGCCAUGUGGCAGGUAAGAGUGGGACACACAACAGCCCCCCGCCUGGAAGGCGCCUCUGUGUCCUGGAAGUGCACACAGAUGCAGAGGGGAGGCGGAGGGCAGGGCGCCCCUGCACCCGCGUUUCGGAGCCACCCGUCCUCUGCAUCUUUUUCUAGUUUCAUUCACUUGAAGGUGAAGAGAGUCUCCAAUCAGAUUAGCUGGUGAGGGACUAGUUUCCACUUUCAAAGGUCCUGCCAGAGGUCCUGUCCACCUCCCAUCUGUGAGUGAACAGAGAGACAUCCGAACAUGUCAUGAAAUGUGAGUAGUUCUAGCUGCGGGGAAUAGGGACAAAUUAAAACUUACUUUGCACUUUUUUGAUUGCCUGAAUUUGUUAGUCUGAGCUCAUAAAAACCAUAAAGACAUCAUUCUUCUGAUCUAAAAAAUAAAUACCCAGCCUGAUGACAGCAGUCCCUUGCAGGGCAACCCUUCUCCACUGUGAGCAAUCACUAGCUCUAUAAAUUGGGAAGCCACCCCUUUAGCUUGGAAUUAUUUACUAAAAAUAGUGUUCCCUGUCUCACUGUAUCCAUCUGUGUCCAUAUGCCUGCAAGGGUUCUGGAGACACGUGUAUGCCCAUGGAUGUACAGAGGCUCACUGGUACACACCAGCAAAAGUGUGUGUGUGUGUGUGUGUGUAUGUGUGUGUACAGGCUUGCACCUACAUGUACAUCUGCUCUAGUAAAGAGGUGUUUGUAAUUUGUGUUGCAAUAAAUGAUUCAUGCAGAGAGGUGCACAUAAGUGUACAGGUGGAUGGAUUUCUAAAACUGAACACACUUGGUAACCAGCACCUAGACGAAGCCAGAGAUAGUUUCUACUCGGUCCCUUGCUCUUGGGUUCUCUUCCAGACAUCGCCCUCCUCUGCCAAGGGUAAACUUCCUCCUGACUGCUGAGUGGAUGAAUGGGUUUCGUCUAUCCAGUUCGGUGGCUCUUCACAGACCCCUUGGAAGGCUCGGGAAAGGAUUCAGGGGUGGAGGGGAAGAAAUAGCAUCUCUUUUUCGCCAGAAUCCCACUCAGUUUUAGCAUUUCCUUCAUCUACCAAUGUAGGCAACAAACAGAAGUGCUCACACUCCCGCUGACCACGAAGCACUGCUAACCCUGUCCCUGAAGAGCUGCUGCUCCUAUCUUGAAUAUUGUUAAUGCUUGUCCUACUUCAAAGUCACAGUACUAGACCUGCUGCUCAAUGUUAUUUAAAAUAUUAAAAAAGAAGCAUAUAUAUUACUAUCAAAA